rnacentral:rRNA from 1 species
GACGAACCGUGCGAACGUUGUUCGGAAUCACUGGGCGUAAAGGGUGCGUAGGCGGGUCUUUUAAGUCAGGGGUGAAAUCCUGGAGCUCAACUCCAGAACUGCCUUUGAUACUGGGGAUCUCGAGUCCGGAAGAGGUGAGUGGAACUCCGAGUGUAGAGGUGAAAUUCGUAGAUAUUCGGAAGAACACCAGUGGCGAAGGCGGCUCACUGGUCCGGUACUGACGCUGAGGUGCGAAAGCGUGGGGAGCAAACAGG